CUGGCAACAGAUUAGUUGCAGAAGUCUUGACAUCAGUACAAGAAGAAAAUCUGAAAGUUGAAUGUAUAGCUAUUACAAGGGACAUGGUGUCAUGGACACUGAUUUGAAGUUCCAAACAUUUUUAUUCAAGCACACAAAUGUUCUGCUGCAAUAACUUUCAACUUGAUGAUAUCUUCGUCACACUGGCUGCCAUGUGUUAUGAUGGAACCCAAAUAAGCAGAAGCUGUCUACUUGUUCGACAUCUACAGCAUAAAUGACUAACUUAGCCUGUUUCUUUUUUUUUAUUUCUGUUAUUCUUAUCUUUUGUUCAUCCAGUUUUAAUCCCGAUUGUUUGGCUGUUGUAUACAGAUUGUCCAAUGCUUUUUGGUUGUAUUCCUCUGUAGACAUUAUCAUGAUGAUAUUUUCUGUGAAGUCAAGAUGAUAAUUUGCCCCAAUAUCAUGCAGCCUCCAUCAAUGUUACUUAGGGAGUUGGACAAGAUGUUUCUAAAUAUAAAGUGAAACGUAUUGAACUGA